CGAUGCCAACUAGCGAUCCGCCGGUGGAUUUUUAGCCCUGGUGGGUAGCUUCCCGGAAACGAAAGUCUUCCGGUUCCGGGGGAAGUAUGGUUGCAAAGCUGAAACUUAAAGGAAUUGACGGAAGGGCACCACCAGGAGUGGAGCCUGCGGCUUAAUUUGACUCAACACGGGGAAACUCACCCGGCCCGGACACCGUAAGGAUUGACAGAUUGAUAGCUCUUUCAUGAUUCGGUGGUUGGUGGUGCAUGGCCGUUCUUAGUUCGUGGAUCGAUUUGUCUGGUUUAUUCCGAUAACGAGCGAGACUCUAGCCUACUAAAUAUGUAACGAGAUUAUCAAUGUCUCAGUUGCUUCUUAGAGGGAUUUUCGGUGUUUAGCCGCACGAGAUUGAGCAAUAACAGGUCUGUGAUGCCCUUAGAUGUCCGGGGCUGCACGCGCGCUACACUGGCGAAAUCAGCGUGCUGUAUCCAUUCUCGAAAGGGAUUGGUAAACCCAUGAAAAUUGCCGUGCUUGGGAUCGGAAAUGGCAAUUAU
rnacentral:rRNA from 1 species